UAACGCUUGGCUACAGCCAGUGCUCUUUCACACUGUCAUGGGGCUGCACUCUGGGCCCUGCAUGGGCAUCUCCCACUGGAAGACUCUCAUCUGACACUACAUGGGGAAAACAGCUGGAAGCUAAGGAGAGACAAAAGGAGGCAGUGAAGAUGCCAAGCUGACUGACAUUCAGCCCACGCAUGGGGCACAGUGAGACGAGCCACAAAUGAAUUAGUGCAACAGAGCGGGGAGUUUGGAGGGAAGUGACACUGGAGACAGCACCUACACCCUGCUCUGUGGAUUUGCAGAAAUUUGCACAGAACAUGGAGAGAGAAAGGUUUGACCUCAUCUUCUCUAGAUCCAACGGGGCAGGCAGAUGGCAGCUAGGGAUGCUAACCAUGAUGGAUUUGCUAACGCAUCUUCCUUCAACUUUAGAGUUGCAUACAUUUACCCACAUUUCCAGCUGAUGAAACUGCCCUAAUUUCUGAAUUGGUACAGUAAGCAGCACUUACAAUAUUCUUAUUUUUUGAGAUGGAGUCUUGCUCUGUCGCCCAGGCUGAAGUGCAACGGCACGAUCUCGGCUCACUGCAAUCUC
rnacentral:lncRNA from 1 species